ensembl:snRNA U6 U6 spliceosomal RNA
GUGCUGGCUUCGGCAGCACAUAUACUAAAAUUGGAACAAUACGGAGAAGACCAGCGUGGCCCCUGCACAAGGAUGACAUGCACAUGCACGAAGCAUUCCAUAUUGAA